CAGUAGCCGCGGUAAUACGAAGGGUGCAAGCGUUACUCGGAAUUACUGGGCGUAAAGCGUGCGUAGGUGGUGGUUUAAGUCCGUUGUGAAAGCCCUGGCCUCAACCUGGGAAUUGCAGUGGAUACUGGGUCACUAGAGUGUGGUAGAGGAUAGUGGAAUUUCCGGUGUAGCAGUGAAAUGCGUAGAGAUCGGAAGGAACAUCUGUGGCGAAGGCGACUAUCUGGGCCAACACUGACACUGAGGCACGAAAGCGUGGGGAGCAAACAGGAUUAGAUACCCCAGUAGUCCCUGUCUCUUAUAA
rnacentral:rRNA from 1 species